UGAAUCUCAUUAUGAAGUACUCUUGCUCUUCAGGUUAAUGUCGAAAGAGGGCCCCUGGUGGUUUCUGCAUGGUGAUGUGAAUAAAGCUAAGAUUGCUGGUUGAGAAUUUGAGAUGGGAAGAAGCAAAAGAAUACAUCCAAUAUGCAAAUCAAAUCAGUUUCUGUUAAUAGUUUUUAUUUGUUAGAUCAACUUAAGCGGCUGCUAGCACAUUUCUGGGCAAGUACUUUAUUAAUUUUAUUUUUGCGCUGAGAUUCAUUAUCUUAUUGAAUCCUUGAAACCAGAAACUAUUUAUCUGUAAGUAUACAAUUUUUUGCAAUUUAGUGAAUUUUCCCAAAAACUUAUAGUAUUAUUCAUAGUUAUCGGUAAAA